CCGGUUCCGGCUCGCGCCUCUCCCUUCACACCUCCCUGCAAGCUGAGGGAGCCGGCUCCGGCCUCGGCCAGCCCAGGAAGUGGCUCCCACAGUGCAGCGGCAGGCUGAAGGGCUCCUCAAGUGCCGCCAAAGUGGGAGCCCAGGCAGAGGAGGCGCCGAGAGCGAGCGAGGGCUGUGAGGACUGCCAGCACGCUGACACCUCUCACCGCCAUUUGCCAGGUCCAGAGUUCUUGUCCUACAUCCAGGAAGAAUGAAGUACGUGGACAACUGGAAAGACUGAUUCCUUAUCCAACAUCACUUUCUGGACUACCUAGAAUCCAACUAUCAUGUGUUUCACCAAGAUGUCAUCUUGUGGGCUAGUCC
rnacentral:lncRNA from 10 species